ACAAAUUUAUUACAAUUAGGUGUGCAGCAAGGAUGUUCUGAAAUGAGUGUCAGGAGAUUUUGUGCACAUCACAACAUUUCCAGGAGGGGACAUGUAUCCGACACACAAUUAGAGGUUGCUAUCAGCAGAGCAAUAAAUCAGACAGGGUCAACAUAUGGUCGAAAGAUGAUGACCGGGUACCUGUCUGCAAUGGGAGUGGUUGCUGGUGAACGCCGGGUGGGGAAGAUUUUGAGAACAACUCAUUGUCCCUAUCACGAAAUGCGCAAACGUGGUGCACGUAACCUUAACCCCGUCCCCUACAGUGCUGCAUACAUGGGACACAAAAUCCACAUCGACCAGAAUGAAAAAUUGGUCAUGUUUGGAGUGACACAUGUUCUCGCAAAAGAUGGGUACAGCAGU